rnacentral:rRNA from 1 species
GAGAGAGACAUGCGCGCAUAUCAAUAAGCGGAGGAAAAGAAACUAACUAAGGAUUCCCUCAGUAACGGCGAGUGAAGCGGGAAGAGCUCAAAUUUGAAAUCUUCAAGGUUCUACCUUUACGAAUUGUAGUUUAAAGAAGUGUUUUCUGUUGAAGUUUUGGUAAAAGUUCUUUGGAAUAGGACAUCAUAGAGGGUGAGAAUCCCGUAUUUGACCAUUAUUUCCAGCUUUGUGAUACACUUUCAAAGAGUCGGAUUGUUUGGGAAUGCAGUCCAAAAUGGGUGGUAAAUUUCAUCUAAAGCUAAAUACUGGCGAGAGACCGAUAGCGAACAAGUACCGUGAGGGAGAGAUGAAAAGAACUUUGAAAAGAGAGUUAAACAGUACGUGAAAUUGUCAAAAGGGAAGCGUUUGACACCAGUGUUGUUUUCUCGAAAAUCAAUUAAAAAAGGCAGGAUUUUGUGUUGUAUUGACUUUAUCAGCUUUCUGCACUCUUUUCUUGUCUUUUUUAAUGCACUUUUCGUUUAACAAGUCAACAUCAAUUUCUUUUGUUGUAAAAGGGUCAUUGGAAGGUGGCUUUCUUUUCGGAGAAAGUGUUUAUAGCCUUUGGCCUCUGCAAUCGGAGAGAUUGAGGUCUGCAGCGUAGAUCCUUCGGGGUUAGAUACAUUUGUGCUAAGUUAUAGCCUUUCAUAGACAACUUGUUGACUAUGAUCAGUCAUGUAGCUUACUCGCUUAUGCUAUUUUACCUACGCUUAGGAUGUUGAUGUGAUACUGCGAGCA